rnacentral:rRNA from 1 species
AUUGAACGCUGGCGGAAUGCUUUACACAUGCAAGUCGAACGGCAGCACGGGGGCAACCCUGGUGGCGAGUGGCGAACGGGUGAGUAAUACAUCGGAACGUGCCCAGUCGUGGGGGAUAACGUAGCGAAAGCUACGCUAAUACCGCAUACGAUCUACGGAUGAAAGCGGGGGAUCGCAAGACCUCGCGCGAUUGGAGCGGCCGAUGGCAGAUUAGGUAGUUGGUGGGGUAAAGGCUCACCAAGCCUUCGAUCUGUAGCUGGUCUGAGAGGACGACCAGCCACACUGGGACUGAGACACGGCCCAGACUCCUACGGGAGGCAGCAGUGGGGAAUUUUGGACAAUGGGCGAAAGCCUGAUCCAGCCAUUCCGCGUGCAGGAUGAAGGCCCUCGGGUUGUAAACUGCUUUUGUACAGAACGAAACGGCCUUUUCUAAUACAGAGGGCUAAUGACGGUGCCGUAAGAAUAAGCACCGGCUAACUACGUGCCAGCAGCCGCGGUAAAGUA